UAAUGGGUGUGUGGUGUUCAGUGGCAGGGACGAGUUUGUUUACCUGUGUGUGGAUGGUGUUCAGCACCAAGGACAGGUAUACUUGCCU
rnacentral:pre_miRNA from 1 species